AGCGAACGCUGGCGGCAGGCUUAACACAUGCAAGUCGAGCGGGCCCUUCGGGGUCAGCGGCGGACGGGUGAGUAACGCGUGGGAACGUGCCUUCUGGUCUGGAAUAACCCUGGGAAACUAGGGCUAAUACCGGAUACGCCCUUUUGGGGAAAGGUUUACUGCCGGAAGAUCGGCCCGCGUCUGAUUAGCUAGUUGGUGGGGUAACGGCCUACCAAGGCGACGAUCAGUAGCUGGUCUGAGAGGAUGANCAGCCACACUGGACUGAGACACGGCCCAGACUCCUACGGGAGGCAGCAGUGGGGAAUAUUGGACAAUGGGCGCAAGCCUGAUCCAGCCAUGCCGCGUGAGUGAUGAAGGCCUUAGGGUUGUAAAGC
rnacentral:rRNA from 1 species